UACGUAGGGGGCAAGCGUUGUUCGGAUUUAUUGGGCGUAAAGCGCGUGUAGGCGGUUUGGUAGGUCCGCUGUGAAAACUCGAGGCUCAACCUCGAGACGCCGGUGGAAACCAUCAGACUAGAGUCCGGAAGAGGAGAGUGGAAUUCCUGGUGUAGCGGUGAAAUGCGCAGAUAUCAGGAAGAACACCCGUGGCUAAGGCGGCUCUCUAGUACGGUACUGACGCUGAGACGCGAAAGCGUGGGGAGCGAACAGG
rnacentral:rRNA from 1 species